UGCUGUCUGCAGUCUAACACUGAAAUGGUAACCGGUCUUAAUAUGCACUGCACAAUCUAUAAAAGCAUAUUACACGAAACAAAGAAGGUUAUGGACCGCGAGGUGUGCUGAAACAGAAACAGCCGGUAGACUGGUCUUCGGGUAUCAUGCCGCCUCCCUUGCUAGUAUCUAUUGCAUACAACAUUUUCACUACCUCUUCCAUUUCAGGAAGAUUAUCCGGGUUUGCAUCCCAACAUUUUCGCAUGACGCUAGCCAAUGUGCUUGGACAACAUCUUGGAAUUUCUGGUCGUAAAUUCUGCCAUCCAAGCAUAAAAUAUUAGGACUACCAAUUGGUGAUCAACAUUGCUUAAAAGCCAAAGACAGACAAGUUUUGCUACAUCAGUUCCACUACUUCAAAACAAAUAUGCAGUAAAAUCUGAUAAAGAAAUUAAAGCAGUAUGUGCAACAACAAACCAACCUGUCGCACUACUGCAGAUGAGACAUCAGCAAAACUUAGAUUAGGAUAAGGCAUGUCGCAGCAAUAGAUUUCCCACAAGCAAAAACCAAAACUAUAGACAUCGCAUUUCCUGUCGUAUGGCUUGCCAUCAAGGAACUACAAAAACCUUGAUGUUAGAAUUCUAAUCCAAUUUGCAGCAAGGGGAAUCUAUUAUGUUUUUUAUUUAAUUAUUUAUUGGUUUAAAUUAUAUUUUCCUUAACGGGUAACGGGUCGGGUCAUAUUACCCGUUAAUAUUAUCGGGUCGAUUUUGGAUCGGGUCAUUUUACCCGUUUAUUUUAACGGGUGUUACACGACACGACCCGUUAAGAUAUCGGGUAUGACACGAAAACGACACGAACACGGAAAACACGACACAAAUGCCAAGUCUAGUUGGGAGUUCAUUAUUCAAUCAAAUAACACCGCCUUCUUACAUUCAAUCAAAAAAAUUUAUGUAGUUGUAAAUUUGUAUCUAUACUUAGGCAAACAAUCACAUGUAUUCUUUUGUGCAAUGAAGUAAACCCCUAAGUCUAAUAACAAUGAAAGUUUGAAAUCGGAGUUCAGCAUGCUAAAACCAUUCCCAAUAUAUGGAUUCAUUAACCAUCUAAUACACAGUCACUAUAGCAAAUUCUGCAAUACAACAAUCCCAAACGAGCCCUUGAUACUAUACUAAACAAUUAUAGAUGAUGGCUUACCGUCUAGGCGUCCACCAACUCAACAAACUGUAAAAUUUCUCAAUUCCGUUCCAUUUCUGGUGAAACCCAUUGACCACUAAACUAUGUUUUAAAGUCUCAAACAUGGAAAACUUAGGCAUGCAAACAAAUCCUGCACAUCACGAAAACUGCAACAACGAAAAAGAAUUAAAAACGAAUUGAAGCCUUCAGAGAAAUCAAAGUACCUGCAACAUCUUGGCUAUCGUAUGCACCGCGAUACACGGUGCCAUAGGUUCCAUGAGCAAUAACAUGUCUUAUAUCCAACUUUGCCAAAUCAAUCUCCCACUCUUCCACCUUUGCAUUCGCCUCCCUCUCCCUCUCCCAACCCCUACUCAAGUGCUUCUCCAACUGGAUAUCCCGCCAAAUCUCAAAUUGUCACUCCUUCACAAAAUAAAAAUAUUUCUUAAACCCCCGAAAACUUGAUUGAAACUUUGACAACGGAACUGAAAAAAUAUUAACGGCCCCCGAGAAUCUUGGAGCUGAAGAAUCACACCAAAUCGAGAAAAAAAAUGGGAUAGGAAAAAAGGAAGAAAAAAAUAUAGAAAAAUAGAGUUUUGGGUAUUAAACUCGAGUGAGAGAGCCAUUAGAAAGAGUGAAUAGAAUCGUGAAAAGAAAAGGUCAAACAAAGAAAAUAAUACAUAGGAAAAUUUACGCGUGGGUUAGAGCAGUAAAUUUAUGGGUCAGCAGCAAGUUAAUCAUUAAAUUCGUUCUCCCCUAAAUUCAACCAAAAUGAAAACAAAAACAAUAUUUGGAACAGGGGUCAAGAACUCAAAAUCCCUAAUUCUUGAAUACCUUAAAACUGAGGAUUCGGAACACAGAUAGUGGUCAGGAGUGCUCGAGUUGAGAAAAUAUGAUGGUGGUGGUUGGACGGACGAACGGAGCUCUGCGCUGCGAAUUUGGGUCUGAGAGUCCAGAGUCCAAGUCGAGUCGAGAGACAGAUAAUCGAGGUGAGAGAGACAGACCGAGAGUGGGAGUUGUGAGAGAAGUGGGAAGUCAACGGUGCAGGUCCAAGUCUCGUUUGCCCACCCGAUACGGUAUUACAAUUGUUUUGGCCAGACAAACCUCCACUUAAUAUGGAGUUGGUGGGAGAUGAUGGGAAACUUUUGCUCAUUUGGCUCAUUUAACCAGAAUUUAAUCAGAUUUGGUCUUCGAAUUUUUCUGAAUUGCUAAAGGAUUUAUUUUCUUCGGAAAUUUCAGAAACUCAGGUUUUGGAAGGAAGAAGCUGGUUCCUUACCAUUUUUAGGUAUAUAAUUAUGUGCCCUGAUUGCAUGUUCACAACCUAUUUAGUUAUAUGAAAUUUUUAUUUAUUUUUCUAAAGCUUUCAUGUUUGGAUUUUAAAUAUGCAAUUGGUAUAAAUGCAAAAUAUAAUCAUGGGGCAUUCUUAUUUUUGGAUUUUCUCUUCUGCAUUUUCUCUUGCAUUUUCUCUUCUAUCCUUUGUAUGUUUGCAGUUAGAUCAAUGGGUUCAAACCUUUGAACUAAAAUUUGUUUGACAGCCUUGCAAGUGUUUCGCUUUUGGGUGCUCUUUAAUGUGUGCACUUUCUUUUGUUUAUCUAGAUUAGUGUUUUUCCAGCACUUUUAAUCGUUGCAGUUCACAAAGUUCUUAUUGAUCUUGAAUUGUUAUUUUUAAUUUAUCUUUGUUGGGUAGACGACAUGUACUGUGGGUUUCGGUGAUUAGGGAAUAUUUUGAGCUUCAUUACUAUUUUAAUGUUUAGGUAAAACUAGAAACUUCAACCCGUGCUCUGCUGCGGGAUUGAAAAUUGUAUGAAAGAUUAUGUUUGAAAGAUAAGAGAACAAUUCAUCAAUUGUGCAAUAGAAAACAUAGCAUUAGAACACAUCCAACAGAGGAAAAAAAAUUACAACAAACCUUCAUUAACUGUCGAUGGAAUACUAACAACAAAAAAUUUCUUUGUUUUGAAAUCAUUGCCAAAGAUUUUCAAACUCACGAUCAUUAAGCACGGGAUCAUCUGGAAAAGGAAGGAGCAGUCAUCAUUCCUUCUGAGUCUCAUAAGUUGUGCCCACUGCAAUAGGUGUCCCUAAAGCAGCACAUAAUUAUGUAAGCAAAAAAAAAAAAAUUCAUAAAAGACCAUUGAAAUCAAUUUUCGAAAUACAAACAAUUAAGAAGAUUAAACCUGAAUCAAAUGACACUAUUCGAUAAAAAUAAACUCAAUAUUUACUAAAUGAAUGUAUAACUUGUAUUGUAUAAUAUGCCUACUUCAUAUAAUUGCUAAUAAAAGGAACAAGUCCUUAUCCAUAUGGAUAUUAUAAAGAAAAUCAAUUCCAUAGUAUGUCCAUUGCUAAUAAAAUAAAUGUCCAAAGUCAUUAUGUGGGUACUAACGAUACUAAUACGACAAAUGUCUAGUUGUUAAUAUUGUUUGAUAUAAGCCUACUAAGUAAAAACAUUUAAAUAACACAAAGAGGCAAACUUUUCACAUUCUCACCAAGGUUCUAAAAAAUGCUAGGCGCUAGUCGGGCGGCGGGCUAGCGCCUAGCACCUAGGCGGAUUUAGUUAAUUUCUUGUAAAUAAGUGUAUAUUGACACUUACAAAAAAUUAUACUUGUAUGAAAUCUAAGAAUAAGAUAAUACAAGAACAAUAAAAUGAAAAAAGAGUAUCCAACAAGUCCAAAAUUUUAAAAACAUAUUAAGCAUAUAUGCCAUAUAACCAUAGUGAGGAGUAUUGUAGGAUGACACAUGUACAACAAGUUCACAAUUUAAAACCACAUAAAAUGCAAAAUAGGAGGAAAAUAAGGAAAUAUAGUAAUUGUCUUUAACAUCCAAGAAUUUAAGUUGAUACACACCUAUUCUAUAAAAUUAACAAAAUUUCAAGGUAUAAACAUAGGUGCAUGUAGGGAACAGGAACUUAGAAAGUUAGAAUAAAGAUAUGAUUUUUUUUUUUCAAUUUCAAAAUAAAAAAGAAAAAAAAAGAAAAAAAAAGCCUAGCUCUGCCUAGAGCCCAUCCGCUUUUUCCCACCGUUUUGCAAUAAAACGCCUCGGCCACCCUCCGCCUAGCGCCUAGGCGGCCGUCUAGGCCGUUUUUUAGAACACUGAUUCUCACACACCCAACAAAAGCCUGAUUUAACGGAAGAAAAAUCUCACAAGGAUAGAAAAAACAAGUGCAGCUUUCCAAUUCAAGAUUAUUAUACAUAUUUAUAUUUAUUUAUUAUUUACACUAAAACAGGGUGUACUGUUGACCAUUCUCUUUUUCAUCACUUUGUAAUGAUAACAACCACCACUAUUACAUCUCACAAUACAUAAAGAUUUGAUUGUUUAUUUAAAGUAUUUGUUGGCUUUUAAAAAUAAGAGAACUAAUGAAAAGGGUUUGAAAAGUUUUAGUUUUAAUAAAAAACCAUGUUAUAAGUUUUGUUUAAUGAUUAGUACAAGACCCAUAUUAAAGUAGUCCAACGAAAAAUAGUCCAACUAUAAUAAAUUAUGAUUUGUCGAUUUUAUCCCUAACUUUUUUAAGUUGAUUCCAGAUUUUCGUCGUUAAUGGAGUUCAUCGUUGUUUUGCAAACCUUCUUCUUUUUCUUUGAAACAAAAAUAUAGAUCAUCAUGUUAUUUAAUUUAUAUUUUGUAUUAUUUCGUUGAAAUGUGAUUGUCGUUAUUAUUCAUAGUGUAUUCGAGGUAUCGUUUUUCAAUUUUUCAUCGCCAGUGGAGUUCAUCGUUUGUUUCUCUAGAAAAUAAAUUUGAAAUCUGCAUGCUAUUCAAUAAUAAUGACGGGUCACUGUUUCUGGAUUUUAAGUAACACUGUUUCUGGAAUCUAAGUUACUGUUUAUGGAAUCUAAAUCAUUGUUUAUGGAAUCUAAAUCAUUGUUUCUUAAAUGUAAGCUAGAAAAGAAAUAGAGAAAUUCACUAUAUUUGGAUUCAAAGCAAAAUAAACACCAUAUUUCUUAAAUAUAAUCAAUUGAUGCAUGAAAGAAAAGAAACAGUCAAAGAUUAAAACAUAGACUAUUUCUGAAAUUAAAUCACUGUUUUUGAAAUCUAAGUCAUUAUUUCUGGAAUUUAAGUCACUGUUUCUGGAAUCAAAUCAUUGUUUCUGGAAUCUAAGUCACUGUUUCUAAAAUUUAAGUCACUAUUUCUAGAAUUUAAGUCACUGUUUCUGGAUUUUGGUUCUUUUCUUUCCAGAUAUAGUGUUUGUGCACAAACAAAACAAACACUAUAUCUGAGUUUUUUUUUUUGUUCAAAAACAGUGUUAUGUUUUUUAUUCUCCAGAAACAGUUUUAUGUUUUGGUUUUUUUUUUUCCAAGACAUUUUUUCGCCGGUUUUUGCUAUUAAACUUCUUUGAACUUGUUUCAACUGCUUUGUUCCAAUGAAUGCUUCAUUUUUUCAACUUUGAUUUGAACUUUGAUUUGGUUGUUUUUGAAAUGAGGGAAUUACUGGGCAAUUGGCAGUUAGAUGAUGAAGAUGAUCCCCUGCAGCGGGGACAUGAUUCUGCUGCAAAUGACAAUGGCCAAUCAUUAAGAAAGAAGAAGAAAGCUUCAUUUAAAGAGAAGUCAAGUAAGAAAGGAAAAGAAAAUGGGGAGGUGGGGAAGAAGAUCAUAUAUGAAGAAAAUGGCUCAAGGAGAGAGAAGAGCAGGCAUGAGGAAAGUGGCUCAAGGAAAGACGAAGGGAAAAAGAAGAUGAGGCGGAGACAUUCCCAAGAUAGUGCCAAUAAGUAGGGUGUUUUGUCUACAUGGAGAAAAAGUAGAUGAUAAAAAAAAAGACCAAAUAAUUUCUUUAUUAGCCAACUUGUCUAGUCUCCCACCCAUCCCCAGAUGAAUGAACACGUGUAUAUUCUACCUUUCCUUUCCUAGAUGACCCACACGUGUACAUCUAGAUUAUUCCCUUCUCAGAGAGACAAAAACCAAGCAGAAGACUAAAGAGCGAAAAGACCAAAGAAACAAAAAAGGGGUAAAAACGGAAUCACAUUGUACAAUCAACAGUAACUAAAGAAAUAACAGUUGUACAAUCAAUGUAAUUUCAUCAAAUUCUAAUCCAUACGAUCACUUGUGUACCUAAAAACUGAUGACUCUUGACAACAGCACAUAACAAAUACUUGGAAAAACGAAGUUAUGUGCUUAAAGGCUUCGUUUUAAAAGAUGGAGAAGGGUAGAGGAGCUUUACCCAAGGAAUUUUCGUGCCUCCGCUCAACCUUUUUACACACCCUAAAAAAUACUUGAAAUUCGAUCCCCUACUACAACACACGCAAAAAAAAUAGCAAACUAAUAAACUUAAUUAUAUAUGAUCAUUUCACCACAUAAUUCAAAUUAAUUGGUGAAAAAAUUAAUUAAUUAAACUGAGUUAAAAAUUAAAUAUAAAUACCAAUAAUAAUUGUGAUUGUCCAUUUUUUGCUCCCUGGACUUUCCACUUGGAGUUAAAGAUAGCACGAAACCACAAAAAAAAAAAAAACUUCAAUUUCUGAGACCAGAGCACAAAACCAAGCAAACACCGCCAGCUGCAACAGAAACAACACGGUAAAAUAGAGUUUUAGAGAGAAAAAACAAAGGACUUUAAUUUUAGGAAGACUUUGGAUGCGGUCCUUAGCUAUGAAUAUUCUUUGUGACACACCCCGACCGAGAUCAAGGUAUGCUGGUCGUCACAUGAGAGUGACGUAGAUAUGUGCACAGUGCGGAAGCAAUUAAGGUAAGAAAUAUUCGAGUAAAUAAAAACCAAAGUUACUAAAGUGCACUAAUAAACUAGAGGUGUUAGAAGUGAGAUACAAAAGUAAAUACUCCUAAGCAGAGCAUAUAAAGUUUAGGUGCAGUCCAGUAGGACAAGUACUAAUUAUACAGUACCAUAAGAUGUCCUACAAUUAUUUUAAUAUGCUAGAAUUGCCAAAGUCAUCAAAGCCACCAACAGCAAGCUUACCUAAAACCUGGAGGGACGCAAAACAAAAAAUGUGAGUGGGCAAAAACAAAUGUUUUACAAAACCAUUUCAUUUCUCAAUAUUUCUAAUCCCUUGCCAUAAAACAUGUAUAAUUUUCCCAGAAUUAGAAUAUAAGCAUAUGCAUAUAUAUAUAUCAAUUCAAAUCAUGCCUCAUAUAAUCAUAUUCAUAAGUAUGCCAUGCCAAAACGUAAAAUGAAAUAAGUAAUUCAGGUGAGAAUAAUUUCAUGGAAGGUAUCAUAUUAGCCGGAACCCUUGCAUAAGUCUGUACGGCUGAAUUCAUAGCUCAUUAGUCAAUCUAGCCGGAGUCACUACUAUGACAUAUACGGCACUACACCGCACAUAAGUCGGAACCACUAAAAAGGGAUCUGUACGACAAGAUUAAGUGUAAUAUAAUUAUGCUCAAUUAUACUCUCUCAUGCUAGCUGGACGAUAAUUCGCUAGUCACCUACGAGUCGGAACGAUAGUAAAGGUCUGUACGACAAGAAUGUGCACCUAAAUUGGAUCCAAUGUGAGCAUAUGGUGUGGGAGGUGACAUAAUAAUAACAGGCAUGUGCCAUAUCUCUGGCUAAUCAUUAACACCCUAGGUGCAGGUUUAUGAGCUUAAUACUUCUCAAAUAAUCACAACCGUUAUUCACAUUCAUAAUUCAUAACUCACCUGGGCUUACCUGAGCGUCCACAUCACCACAAUUAUAUAUAUGCAUCAUGUACUAAUUCAUAUACCAAAUAUAAAUUUAUAUGCAUGGCAUUCAAGGCAUACUUCAUUUAAACGUAUUUUUCUAGGAAAUUAUCAAGUAUAUAAGUAUAUAUUGAAAACCAAAAGCCCACUCACUGGUAUGUCGAAGGAUCGUAGCCCUCGAGUCGCCCUUGAACGCGGUCGUCAUCGGGAUAAGUCUCGCCUGUAUGCGAAUUAACUAUAAAAACGUUAUUUAAAGUACAUAGACAAAACUAACUAAUAACUUCUCAUACAAUGCUCAAAUGAGAUGUUUGAAUAUACCAAUGUGAUCUACAUAACUCCACGAACAUCCCCAUAUUUUUAGAAAAAAUUUCCGACCACCCACUCGAGAGCACGUGCCUGGCACACUAACGGUGGCAGUAACGGCGUUAGAGAAUAUUCCGUCUAAAACUAACAGCGUCACCUUACGCCGUUAGCAUAUUCUGUCAAAACUGACGGAAUAUACCCCUUCUUCCCCGACGAGUCACCAGACGUCGGCGAUUGUUCGCCGGUUUCUGGAAAAACUUCUAACCCUUAUUUCUCCUUCAUUUCAACACCAAACUUAAUGAAAUUUGAACCAUUUUGAAGAUCUCACCAAGACGAAUCAAACCGUACUUGAGUUGAGCCUUGAACUUGCCGGAAACUCGCCGGAAAAAGCCUCGAUAAUCCGGCCAAACUUAAAACUCAUCGUUCUCGCUAUUCCGACGUCCAAAAUCAUCCAAUGAACCACUCCUAGACUCGUGAAGACCUCCUUAAGCUACCUAUAAGCUUGAAAUCCACAAAAACAUGAGAUUUUACGUUUGCAUGAAUAAUACCUCAAAUCGGAGGUUAUGGUUUCUCGGGUUUUUCACGGUUUCAAGUCCUAAAAAUGACAUAUAUGAACUCAGGGACAAGCAAGGAGUUCAAAUCUUACCUUCUUAACGUCAAUCCAUGCUUGAAGUGCGAGUAUGGUGUUCGUCCGUACGUGAGGGAAGGAGAGAGAGAGGGUCCAAGAGAGAGAGAGCACGGGAGAGAAGAGAGAGAAGGAAUUUGUGUGUGUGUGUGUGGUCCACGUGGUCACCAACCAAAACCACAAAACCAAAUUCCAAUUUUUGUUCCAAAGAUUAGGGAAAUACAAGUUUGGACCAAUACUUACAUAUAUAAUACACCACAACGCUCAUAUCCGAGGGUAAAAUAGUCAAUUCAUGUCCUCGAUAAUUUAUUUCGGGACGGGCUGUGACACUUUGAUUAAAACCUUGUUGGUUUUUAAUUUUUUAUCAAGGACCCUGAAAUUAAUAUGAUAAUUUAUUUCUACGUACGUUACUAUAUUUUUUAAAUUAAAAAUUAGAAAUUUUAGUUGUUUAUAUAAAUGAGAUUUCAAAUAAAAAACCAUAAUUUGUGGGAUUAAAAAUAUUAAAAUAUAAAUAUACUAUUGUGUGUGUAUAUAUAUAAACAUGGGUACAUUCAUCAAAAUUAACCAAAAAAAUUAUUGUAUCAAAACAUGGGUACAUUCUUCAAAAUCACAAAAAAAAAAAGAUAUUAGGCUUAAUAACAUUAAUAAAUUUCUUCGAUUAAACUUGACAUGGAUACAUUUUAAAAUCAAAGAAAAAAGAAUUAAUGUACCCAUAUAAGUUUAAAAAUGAAUUAGAAAAAAAUUGAAUAGAUUUUAUAUAAAAAGGGGUACAUUUUACAUAUAACAAAUUGAAAUAUUUAAGAAUGAGUACAUUUUAAGAUUAAAAAGUUUUACAUGAACGGGUACAUAUAAUUAGCAUGGGUACAUUUAGCAAAAAAAAAAGUACAAAUAUAAAAAAAAUAUGGGUACAAAUACAAAUAAACUUUAAAAACUAUGGGCACAAAAAGAAAUUAAUAUAUGGGUACAAAUUAAAACUGAAAAGAAAAUUGGUACAAAUUAAAAAAGAAUUACAAAUAAAAAAUGGGUACAAACUAAAACUAAAAAUAUAUGAUAAAAAAAUUUAGUCAUAAAUAUAAAUAUACUAAUUGUAAUAUUUUUAACAUUAAAUGAAUAUAUUUAGAAAUAAAAAAAAUAUUUUAUUAUUGAAAUAAUUAAUGAUGUUAGUAAUACCUAAGGACUUUGAUCAAAAAUUGAAAAAUGAAGGAUGAGAACCUAAUUUUUCCGUAAUUUUACAUCAAUCGAGGAAGAUUUCCUAAAACGAAAAAUCGAAUUAGAUGGAACAGCCACACACAAAUCAUCAAAAAAAAAAAAAAGAAGAAAAGAUUUGAAAGAAAAAACAUUCAGAGACCUUAAUCAGAAGGGGUUUGCAAGGUUGUACACAAAAACCCUCAAAUUCGCACACCAAUUUUCCUAAAAAAAAAAAAACCCAAUCAGAUUAAACAACCGUCCAAAUUCCAACCUUUUUCUUCAUCUAAAUCUUCAUCUGAUGGUUGCAGGCUGUCAAAUUGCAAAUCAGAAUGCUUUGAUGGUUCACAGUGAGAAAUAGUCUGUGUUGGAAGCUCUACUGACAGUUUUUGCAUCUUCCUUGGAUGAGAAGAGAGACCCACACGGAGAGAGAGGUAGAGGUGGUGUAUUUGAUUGUGGGCACAGGCAGAGAGGAAAUGGUAUAAAAAAAUUAGAGGGAUAAUUAGGAUGUCUCUUCCAUGUGGGUACCUUUUUACUUUUGAGAUUUUUGAGAGAGAGUGGAAUGAGAGGGACUCCCUUCCAUCCCAGAUGAUCAACACGCGUACCUUUAACCUCUUUUCCUUCCUAGAUGAUCCACACGUGUACAUCCAGAUCUUUCCCUUCCUAGGGAGACAAAAAUGAAGCAGAAGAGUGAGAGUCGAGAAGAGGCAAAAUCAAAAUUAUAUAAAAAAUUUAGAGAGAUGUCUGUUGUGGCAGAAACGAAGUAAACAAAACCAAGAAGGGACAAAAUUGGAAGAGUCUAGUUUCUGAAGCCUCCUUCAGGCAGAAGUGGAAUGAAAGAAAGAAGCAAGGGUAAAAGUGCAAGUACAAUGUACAAUAAACAGUGUCCACAGAAACAAAAUAAGGGUAAAAAGGGAAACACACUGGCGAAGGAACAGUGAAAAUGACACAAACGAAAUUAACUGAAAAGUUACUCAUUUAGUGUGUGUGUACAUAUAUAUAUAUAUAUAUAUAUAUAUAUAUAUAUAUAUAUAUAUAUAUAUAUAUAUAUAUAUAUAUAUAUAUAUAUAUAUAUAUAUAUAUAUAUAAUUUUGAGAUUCAUUAAUAGGAUUUUUGUGGCUAAGACUCUUUAGCUAAAUUCGUAACUAUUUGGUGUUUGGAGUCCAAUGGAUUGGUAUCUAUAUCUUACAAAAAUGUUGGCCAAGACAUAUGUUAGCUUUCAUUCUGUUUUUUUUUUUCAUUUUCAUUUCUUAUAUCUAGCUUUUGCUUUUGAUGCAUAGUUUGAAAGCUUCUGGAUCAUAAUAUGAAUUUCGGUGUGUGAGUGUGUGCAAUGUGUGUGCAGUCAGUGUUUGUGCAUUUCCAAUUCUCAAGUGUGAUGAUAUUGCCUAAACAUGUAGAUUUUACACUGCUUUUGUGCCAUGCAGUACCGACAUUCUAUGUGGCCUCUUAGCUAAUGAUACUAUCACAUUAUAUGAACAUUAAUUAGUCAACUUUCAGACAUUGCUCCAAACUCUUUCUUCAUUUAUUGAUGCUCCUACAGUUCCUAAUCUUCCACCUCACGUGUUUGGCUGUGUGGCCUUCGUUCAUCUUCAUAAACAACAAAGAAGUAAGCUUGAACCUCGGCCUUACGGUGUGUGUUUGUGGGGUAUGCCUCAAAUCAAAAGGGGUAUCGUUGUUAUCACCCUCCAAUGAAAAAAUUGUUUGUCAUUAUGGAUGUUAUCUUUCAUGAGAAUGACAUACACUUUUCCAAUCUCGAGUCUUCACUUCAGGGGGAGAAUCAGAUAAAAGUUCAAACUCUUGAUUAUACCAUUCCAAAUAUAGAUAGUGUGAAUGAUUUGGAUUUAAGUGGUGAUGUCUUGGAAAUAAGUGGUGAUCAUUCACACGAAAAUAAUGAUGUCUGUGAAACCCGUCCCAAACUAUGUAAUUUUAUAUUCACGAAUUUAUAAAAUUACCAGCUUGCCUUCUAUCAUUUACCCAAUCCAUUCCUUUUUGGAUUUUCUCCAAAUUCUUCCCUUUUCUCUAGCUGCCACGUGGCAGCUCCCCCACACCCAUCUUUUUCUCUCUUCUCUCCCUUGAGCUCUCUCUCAGCUCACUCUCUCUCUAGCACAAACUCUCUAUCCCUCUCCCUGAUUUACAUACACGCCUAUAUACGCCCAAAAACGAAGAAAUCGACAGCGACGACGACACCACAAACCACUAAGUGAGUCUCUCUCUCUUCCCUUCCUCUAUGAAGCCCAAGAAACCCAGAAAGUUCCUCCAGUGAGCCCUGUGGCUUUCUAGCCAAAAUCUGGCUGACUCAGGCCACCUCACGACGUGUAUUUGGUAUGAAACUCUUCCUCUCAUCUUGCACUUCAUUUUGGUACUUAGAUCGUACCCUAAGGUUGAGUACCGGAGUUAAACAAAGCUUAGGAAGCUUCAACCUUCUUUUCUGUCGAAACCUAGUCAAACGACCCAAACCCGAAAGCCCAAAAUCCCUUGAACCUAGAUUUCUUUUGGGCCGGGCUACUAGCCCAAAACCCUAAGGCCCAGCCCAAAACCCCAAUUAAACCUUUAGAACCCAAACCCAAAAGCCCUUUGAACCCAAACCAUUGGGCUUGCGGCUCAUUGAAACCAAGCCCAAAUCCCUUUCAUAGCCCAGCCCAAAACCCAAGUGACCCCAGGCCUUUGGGUUAUGCAAGCUUGGGCCUUCGGCCCAAGGAAUCCAAGCAUAGAAACCCUUUAGGCCUAAGCCUAAACCCGGUCCAACCCAGAACCCUGGCCGCGCGUGGGCCUGCGCAUGGGCCCACGUGAGGCCAAGCCAGUGCCAACACGUGGAGCACACAAUCUGCCGUCCAUGAUGACACCGGUGACUUUUUCAGCCAAUUUUCUGGCGAUCUAUGGCAGCACGUGGGGGUACCCUAGGUCUCCCUUUACGUGUUUCGACAUCUUGAAUCCGUUUAUAAUGUUCUUUUUUCGAAAUUCAAUCAUUAUGAUUGAGUUUUAUAAAUUGGACCCUUUAUGUGCUUAGGUGUGUUUAUUAGCGGCAUUUCCAUCAUUCCUAUUUCGCACGGCUCUUCAAAGACGAAGUAUCUGUAAGUGAACCCCUUCUAAAAUGCAUGUUUUAAUAGUAAAAAUGCAUACAUGAAAAUCAUGAUUUAAUGGUUACAUUUUAUGAAACGUGUUAUGAGUAAAUUAGAUUUAUACUUUAUGAUUAUCAUGCUUUACUGAGAAUAUUUUGGAAUACCAUACUUUAUCAAAUUUAUGUUCUCUAUAGUAUAUAUGAUGGAUGACUAUAUACUAUGAAGAUGCUUUGAUAUAUAUAUGUACUUAUGUUGGAAAGACUAUAUUCAAUGGUUUUGUGCUUAUCUAGUGGUCAUUGUUCUGCCUAUGGGUGAUGAUACAUACAUAUAUUGGCUUCGGUUGGGUGAUGUAGUGGUCUAUGGGACAGAAGAUAUUUAUUUGGCCUACGGGUCAUAAGAUAUUCAUAUAUUUUGGCCUACGGGUCAGGUGAUGUAGUGGCUUUGGUCGAUUAUGAUACCACUAUUUAGCACAUUAUAUACGAUAUACGUUUUAUGAAACGUUUUAUGGCAUGCUAGGGUUUUCGGAAAAACCUAAUACAUAUUAUACUAUUGAGUUUUCAUGAAACUUUAGGGGUUAGUACGUUGAUGAAUAAUUGUUUCAAUUAUAUAUAUAUCAACUUGGUCCACUUAUAUUUGUUUUGCAUCCCCUCAAGACAUAAGAACGAGGCAUAUGAUCCGAGCUACGAGGCAUUCCCCAACUAGUGACAUCGUGUGAUCCUCUCUGUUUUGACAUCAUUGUAAUAGCACAUUUCGCUUGUAUUCUGAAUUAGAUGUAUGCUCUGAACAUGUCAUGCAUUAUCACUAUCAUUUUAUUAAAGUUUGAAUAUUAUUAUAUUAUUCUCUGCAUGUGCAUUCAUUAAAUGGCUUGUAUCACCCUCGGGUGUUGGUCAGCAUGUGGUCAUCCCGAUGUCCCUCGAACAUCGGGAACAUACCUUAUCAAUGUGAAUGACUUGGAACUAAGUGGUAAUUUCUUGGAGACAAAUGGUGAUCAUUCACAUGGAAACAAUGUUGAAAACUUUGAAAGGGACGACUCGACAUUGCCAGAUAACUCACUACCUGAUAGCUCACAAUCAGUUUCCUCACCACCGGACAGUCAUGUGUCACCAGCUACCUCACAGUCGAUCUUGAGUCCCAAUAACCAUAAUCAAUCAUUUUCGAUCCCUGAUGCACCACCACCAUGUCGUCUCCCUGAUCGCGUCAACCGAGGUGUUCCUAAACUUACUUAUGAAGCCGACCCUAAAUGCAAAACUAGGUAUCCGAUGAGUAAGCCUAACCAUGAGUCUAAUGUGUUAUACCCGUCAAGUAAUUAUAUGUCUAUCAGUCACCUGUCAGAAUCAAAUAAGUCAUUUGUGCAUCAAUUAUCUAUUGUAUCUAUUCCUAACAAUGUGCAAGAGGCUUUAACUGAUCCACGUUAGAAAGCAUCAAUGAAUGAAGAGUUGAAGUAUUUGAAGAAGAAUGCUACAUGGGAGAUCAUAGACUUGCCAGCUGGCAAGAAACCUGUGGGAUGCAAAUGGGUUUAUACGAUGAAGUACAAAGCUGAUGGGAUGGUGGAUCGCUUCAAGGCAAGACUAGUAGCAAAAGGAUGCACUAAAAAAAAUAUGGAAUUGACUAGACAAAUACAUUUGCCCCUAUGACCAAGAUCAAUACAGUUCGUGUUUUGUUGUCCUUGGUUGCAAAUCUUAAUUGGCUGUUACAGUAGUUCGAUGUGAAGAAUGCCUUCUUGCAUAGGGAUUUGACAUAAGAGAUUUACAUGGAACUCCCACCAGGGAGUAACGUUCCAGAUAUGCAUAGACAAAAGGUGUGCAAGCUUCGAAAAUCAUUGUAUGGGUUAAAGUACUCCCUAAGAGCAUGGUUCGAUAGAUUUACCAAGUCUAUGAGAGCAUUUGGAUAUAAGCAAAGUAACUGUGAUCACACACUAUUCUUGAAAUGUUGGAAUGGAAAGCUUACAACACUCAUUGUAUAUGUGGAUGACAUGGUAGUUACCGGUAAUGAUCUGGAUGAGAGUGUAGCCUUGAAGAAAUAUUUGAGUACAAAAUUUGAGAUGAAGGAUCUUGGGUAUCUGAAAUAUUUUCUUGAGAUUGAGGUAUCAAGUAGCAAGUCAUGAAUCUUCCUGUCACAGAUAAAGUAUAUUCUUGACUUGUUAUAAGAAACUGGCAUGUCAGCAUGCAAACCCGUGACUACUCCGUUGGCAAAAGGAAUGAAGCUAAGCAUUGAUCUAAACCAAGUACUGGUAGAUAAAGGAAGGUAUCAACGGUUAGUGGGAAGAUUAAUGUAUUUGGCAUAUAUAUACUAGACCAGACCUUGCUCAUGCCUUGAGUGUCGUUAGUCAAUACAUGCAUGAUCCAGGAGAACAACACAUGAACGCAUUUUUAAGAAUAUUGAGUUAUUUGAAAGGAAGUCCGGGGAAAAGGAUUUUAUUUAAGAAGAAUGGUUAUUUUAGUAUUGAAGGUUAUACGGAUGCUGACUACUCGCUCAAUUUUGCCACGGGAAAGUCGGCAUCUGAUCUUGGAGGAGGAGGACAACUUUAUGAUCCAUUCUCGCCCAAUUCCGCAAGUCAUUAGCAGGGAGGUAAUUCGGGAAAGAUGUGGAAGCAAGAGAAUGAUCUAUUUACUACUAUUAUUAUUUCUUAUACAAGCAACAAUGCGGAAGGGGUAUUCGACGAUAAAACCUGAGGUACAAGAGUAAAAACAUUCUUUUACCCACUUGAACAAUAAGCCCCUUGCCUUUCCAUUUCCUUGUUAAUUGCCUAAUUCUCGACACAUUAAAUUAAAUGCACUACUCGCUUACAAGUCGCAAAUUGCUAAAAUAAAAUAAACUGGGAUAGGAAAACGGUGAACAUCCAUCAUAGGGAGGAAUUACAAAAGUUCAGGUUUAAGUGGCCUCGUUAAAAUCUUGAUCGGAGAAAACCCAGUGGGAAAAACUCCAAACUUAGAAAAGAGUACCACAGUUAUAUUACAAAUCUGGAGAGCUCAUACACUAGAGUUGUGAGCAGCACGGGAGAAGAAACCUUGGCCUAGAAAUAGGCAUGGUUGUCUUUAGAGAAUCGCUCUCAAUGCAAACACAAAACCAGCCCUACAGUAGUUUGUCAGCCAAAUCUCAAAUGAAUGCCUCUUAAAACAGUCACUCCUGAAACCCCAAAAUCUUGAGGACACAAAUAAAAAAAAAACUUAAAACAUUUUACCAACUUGAGGAAUAUUGUGGAUUACUUUAAUUACGAGAAUAAAGACGAUUAACAAUACUAUUGAGAAGAUGAUACCUGGACCUGGAGACUGGGAUCGAAUCGACUAUCAGCUUCACAUCAUCUUAAAAUCUCUCUAUGCUAUGUAAGGGAUGUGGGAUACUUUGUGCCAGUAGCGUCCUUUUCCUCGUUCGCGUCUCUCUUUUAGCACAGGACACCCAGAGAUAAGAAGUUGUGUAAGUGAAGGAGGAAGACCCUCAUCUGGAAUGGAUGCUAGCUGUGGACAACUGGAGAGAUGCAGAGAUUCAAGAAACGUUAGGGAUUGAAAGCCCUUGCUACUCAGUUUCUUCAGAUUCGGGAAACCACAAAUUAAUAGUCCAGUAAGAGAUUUGGGGAGGAGCGGCUCCUUCUGGACCACGUCGGGUGGAAACGAAACCGUAUCCGGGUCAUUACCGUAGAUCCAUAAUUUUCUAAGAGAGGUGAGUCUGUGCAAUCCCCACUCUAACUCCCAUAAUGACUUACAGCUUUUGACCUUCCAAAUUGUAAGUGAUGUGAGGUUGGAGGGAAAGAAGCAACUCAAACCUUCACGGUAGUUGAUGGUCAAUUCCUCAAGAGAGUUGAGAUUGUGCAUGGCUUCGGGUAACACCUCCAAUUUGUCGCAAUCGGUUAUCUUGAUCUCUCUCAGGUUGAAGGCUCUUCUCCCCCCACUCAGUCCGGGGAUAGAAACAAGACUUCCCCAGUAAUAAAUAUCCAACGUUUGAAGAUUGAUGAGGUGGCAUAAGCCAUCCGGUAAGUAUUUCAGAUUUUGGCACUUCCAGAUCCUUAUAUAUUCAAGACACUGAUUAGUGUUGUAGUGGGAGAACCCGUCCUGUACAAUUAACUCCAGCUGUAAACAAUCGUAUAUCUCAAGGUGUUUAAGUGUCCUAAGAAGCUGGCCGCUCAAUGAUAACAACGUCAGAGAUUGACAUUCCUGGAUUUUCAAGUAUUCAAGACAAAUGUGAGAAGACAACAGAGAAGAACCAACAACCUCCUCAUCUACUAGUGAUUUCAAACUUUUACAGUCACUUAUCUGUAUUCUUCCGAGAUUUUGGGGAAUCUGAAAUUUUGCCAAAUAUAUCAUCGAAUGGCACUCUGUAAUCUUGAUGUCUUUAAGAGAAGGUGGCAGACCAACAUCCUCAAAAGAAACUAGACGUAGACAUUUGUGUAUGCAAAGCUGUUGAAGAGACAACAACUGAUUUAACCCUUUUGGUAGCUUUAAAAUAUUUUUGCACUUCUUUGGCUCCAGUCCUUCAAGCUUGCACUCCAAUAUUUGCAAUUGCAGCAACUCAUCUGCUUCUUUUCCCAAUUCUUCAACUAGAGGAGAGUUGUCUUCAAUUUCCAAACGGCCAAGAGAAGUCAACUGCUGCAAUAAUCUACCGUCAUUCUACAAUGAAGACAUCUGCUCCUCACAUCCAUUAAUCUUCAAAUCUCUAAACUUGCUUAAUCCCUUCUGGAACAAUUCCCCUGUUUGCAGACACAUCAGCUCUGAAAUGUUUGAAAGGCACAAGGACUCUAACAACUCAAACUCAACCUUAGCAGCUGUAUGCACCAACACUUUACAACAGUCAAUGUUUAACUGACGAAGUUGUUUGUAGUUGGCAAUUGAAACCACUAAUUCUUCACAUUUAACAAUUCCAAGCUUUGCUAAAGAAUUGAGGUUCUCUGGCAACUUACCCCCCAGUUUUGAACAUUUUUUUACAAAGAGCGUUUUCAGGCAAGGGAAAACACCAUUUCCAUGAUCCAAUUGGAAAGGAAGCCAUUCCUUCCAAUGCUGCAUAUCCACAAACUCAAGAGUCUCUAAUAGCGGAAAAGGCGAGAUGCACUCUCCAUAAAACUCAGCACCAACACUUUCCACUGCAUUCAUUCCUCUAAUAUAAAGUUCUUUGAGAUGAGGCAAUUGUCCAAGAGGUGGCAACGAUAAACAAUUGUUACACUCCUCUAACCGCACAAGCACCACAUUAGAGAACAAAAAAACUGCAACCCAUGAUGAAAAUUCCUUUCCGGCAUAACUCUUGAUGGUGAGCUCCUUGAGCUUUGUAUGAGGCUGUAACAUGUCAAGCACAGCAGAUUCCAUUUCUCUUGUGUCGCUUGAAUGAGACCAUUCUAGGACCAACGAAUCAAGCCUCUCCUUGUAUUUUAAGUUGGCCCUCCGAGCAUCCUCGACAUCAAUCACAUUCCCCUAUCUUGAUAUGCACAAUGUCCCGCGGAGAUGCAAUAGGAACUCUUUCUCUCUUAUCCUUGAUUGAUCACUACCACCACUGACCACAAAAUUAGACAAUGAUUGGAGAUUCACCAAUCUACCCAGUUGUGGAGGCAUUCCUCCCAACGAAUAUGCAUCCGAGUUGUUUAGAUGGCGCAAAUUAAUUAGAUUACUCAUGUUCGCAGGCAAUGACUUCAAUUUAGAACAACCUUCCAAUAUCAAUGUUUGCAAGCUGUAAAGAGUGCUUGUUGAUUCAGGCAAACUGGUUAUAUCUAUGUAGGAAAGGUCAAGAUACUGCAACAACCUCAAAUUACCGAUUGAGUUUGGCAGCUCAGUUAUUUUGUAGCCAUUCAAAGAGAGCACUCGUAAGUAUUGCAACUGUGGUAGUAACUCAAAAAUAACCUUAUGAGACAAAUAUUUACUCCACUACCUGGAAUCUGAAAGUGAAAGUGGCAGGAAUGUUCGCAAACGUUCAACUUUAGAAAAGUCCUCAAAUCUCGUAACUCCAUCAAAUUGACCAGCAAUGAAAGAUGAAUGGCGAGCCCUUCGAAAGCAGGUGCGUUGCAAGUUAUCACCUUGCUUAUCUUCCAACCUAGAACAUAUUUCUCCUGCUGCCCAUUAUGCUAAAUCAUUAACGAGGUCAUGCAUUACAAAUCGUGAAUUGUUUUUGCUUGAUUCUUGAAACAACGACCUUGAUAAUAGCUCUUGAAAGUAGUCACGGCCCAAAUCCUCCAUUUGUUUAUUGUCUUCAGGUUUUUGUUGAAUCAAACCCUCUGCCAUCCACAAAAGGACGAGUUGCUUCUCCCUAAAUUCAUAGUCGUUUGGAAGUAUUGAGCAAUAGGCAAAACACCUCUUCAAAUUUUUUGGAAGAUAGUGAUAGCUCAACUUUAGUACGGGGAGAAUGUCACUCUUAUCUGCUAUAUUCCACAAUUUGUUGUUUAAUAUUUCUUCCCACUCAUCCUUUUCUUUGCAACGUAAAAGGCCACCGAGAGUCCUUGCAGCAAAUGGUAAUCCACGACAUUUUUCGACAAUUUUUCUUCGAAUUAACUCAUAAUUUACUGGUUUUCCAUCGUUAAGUUCCCCGAAUGCAUGUCGCUCAAAUAUUUCCAAACAAUCAUCAUCUCUCAUGCACUUCAAAUUAUGGACUCCAGCGGCUCCCAUAAACUUUGCAACAUUCACAUCACGGGUUGUCACAAGUAUCUUACUUCCUCCAGCUCCGACGCCAAAAGGGGAUUGAAGUCUUGUCCAGAGAUCGUAUAGAUCAUAGUCACCUUUGUUCCAAAUAUCAUCUAAAAUGAUGGGCAUACAUUAUAGUUAUGGUGAUCAGCAAAAAUACUCCAUUUGAUUUUAGGUGUAAUUAGCUUUUAAUUUUGAAUGUAGUUAAGUCUACUUAAGUGAAUUCUUGACUAUAUUUGAAUUGUUUUAUAAAAACUAAUAUUUAUACAUUUGUGUGCUAAAUUUUGACUAUAAUAAAAUCGCUCCACCCACUACCACUAGAGAGAGGGAGGGGUGCCGCCUACCCACCAAACCCAAAAGUAAGGGGUGGUGUCCUUUGGGAUUUCUAAAGGAACAUUAGGUAGGUAUGCUUUGCACCACAAAAAUGUGCAAAUCAAUUUGAUUUUGGGUUCCUAGUAAUAUCCUUUCUUUUCUUAAUUUUAAACAAGAAAGAAUUGCCUCCGCUUUCUCUUUGCACGACAUCUAUUCUUCCUUAAUGGACUGAUUUUACAGUGUUAAUGCCAAUAUUUACACGAUAAAACAUACAUGUUAACGACCAUUAUGAUCGACAUCUUAUUUACAUCAGAUCAACACCCUGUUAUUUAAUAAAGAAGAAAUGUCUUGUUUAGAGAAUAACUGCCUCAUCAAGAUAUUACCAAACCAUGACAGUAAAAAUAACAUAAUAAAACUACAAGACAUUUUUCUUUAGGGUCGUAAAAACUUGAUUUCCAAACUAAUUUACAAUAAGGAGCCACAAGCAACAUGGGUUUUCAAAAAUGCUGUUGGUGCAUUAUUCAGAGAUGUGAUAUGAUAAUUCAAAGACUGCCUGCUGUCUGCAGUCUAACACUGAAAUGGUAACUGGUCUUAAUAUGCACUGCACAUUCUAUAAAAGUAUAUUACACGAAACAAAGGUCAUGGACCGCGAGGUGUGCUGAAACAGAAACAGCCGGUAGACUGGUCUUCAGGUAUCAUGCCGCCUCGCUUGCUAGUAUCUAUUGCAUACAACAUUUUCACUACCUCUUCCAUUUCAGGGCGAUUAUCCGGGUUUGCAUCCCAACAUUUUCGCAUGAUGCUAGCCAAUGUGCUUGGACAACAUCUUGGGAUUUCUGGUCGUAAAUUCUG
rnacentral:lncRNA from 1 species